CGCGAAGAACCUUACCAGGUCUUGACAUCCCGAUGCUAUUUCUAGAGAUAGAAAGUUACUUCGGUACAUCGGUGACAGGUGGUGCAUGGUUGUCGUCAGCUCGUGUCGUGAGAUGUUGGGUUAAGUCCCGCAACGAGCGCAACCCUUGUCUUUAAUUGCCAUCAUUGAGUUGGGCACUUUAAAGAGACUGCCGGUGUUAAACCGGAGGAAGGUGGGGAUGACGUCAAGUCCUCAUGGCCCUUAUGACCUGGGCUACACACGUGCUACAAUGGGCGGUACAAAGGGUCGCGAACCCGCGAGGGGGAGCCAAUCCCAAAAAGCCGCUCUCAGUUCGGAUUGCAGGCUGCAACUCGCCUGCAUGAAGCCGGAAUCGCUAGUAAUCGCGGAUCAGCAUGCCGCGGUGAAUACGUUCCCGGGCCUU
rnacentral:rRNA from 1 species